GGAGAGCUAUAUCCACCAAAUUUAAGUCCCCCAACUGCGCCCAAAUGAGACAGACUGCAACAAGGAUGGCAGUAUACAUAGCUAUGGUGUUACAAAUCACAAAGGCUUGGAACAUAGCGUUGGUUAGCAAGAUUGCCAUGCCCUCUUGAGGGGCGUCACCGUUGUUUCCACCUGGCAUUGUGAAACCGGCUGCAAAUGCCAUUGUGGCAACAAGUGUGGUAACCACCAAUAGAGUAUUCACCCUGUCCCUAAUGCUUUCCUCGUUUGGUAACUUCAAGUCAGUCGAACCUCCACCAUUGUCUGCUACUUGUGGCGAUCUCUGUUUUUUUCUUUGGAGGACAUGCAAACUCUGAGCUCGCUGUGCGAAAGCAGAUUUCAAUACCGUCCAAGUAAGCCUCUGCGCAGUACAAGAAGAAACAAUCCAAUUACCAGACACACGUCGUUGGUAAAAUAGAAACAAAUCAUAUAGAGAUAACAAAAAGAGGUACUAACAUGUAAAUGAUGAUGAUAAGUUUUAGUUGAUCACUAUUUGAGCGCUACAUAACUUGGAGUUUCUAAUCACAGCUGGAGCUCCCUAUAUAGGUUGUUUAUGCCCAAAUAAAUGCAUAGUUAGUGAUGUCUUCAUUUUGCCCAGUACAACUAUUCAUUUUCUUUCCCCACAUGUUUUUUCCAUUUGCAUGUUCUUUGAAUUUGGCAGGAAGACUUUAUCUUGUAAAGUCCUUAUAUAUGGGAUCUGUGCAGUGACCGAUCCAUGAAUUUUUCUUAUUGGGGGCAAGAUGUAGACCAAAUCUACAAAAUCUACUACACGUUUCAUACAUCAUUCAAAUACUCAACAAGUAACAAAUAAGGGUGCUAGAUACUUGUAAAUCUGCAAUCCACAGAGUCUCAUAGAUAUCCAAACCUUCCACAGCUGCCGAGAAUACCACGACAUUUUGUCUCUCUAACCUGCCUUGCUCAACAGAGCAUCAAUGGAACUUCAUGGGCAGUAAAAAAAGGUGAGUAGGGCCAAUAGUCGUCACUAUCCCCUCAAGUGGAUCUGUCACUGGAUGCGUGGCGUAUGUUUUAUAUCAACCAUUUUAGGUGAACUACAUCAGCCAUAGAGUUGUAAUCCUACUUCAAUAAAAUCUAGAGUGUUUUCUCAAUUUAUUUGUUUCUCCUUUUAGUUCUCUGUUCAAUUUCUUUGAGAAUAUACCAAACUGGAACUAAUGCGUACUUGUUCCCAACACACUAAAUAGAACAAGGAUAAUUCCCUUGGAAAUGAUAGCCAAAAUCAUCAUCAUCAUCAUCAGUCAUGUGAUAAAAGUAGAUAUAGUACUAACUUACCCCAUGAUAUGAUGCAAUAGUUUCCAAAGUGCUUUCUGUAAUGUCAAGAGCUGUCAUGUGCCUAUCAUUCAAGAGCUUUAAGUUUGUCCUUGUAUCCCAAGCCAAUCUGUAGACAACCUUGGGGUGGUGGUGCAUCGUUGCCAAAUGUAAAGGAGUAUUUCCGUUCCUGUCUUUUUGGUUUACCAACAUUCGAAACUCACCCUUUUUGAGAAAAUAUUUGACAAGAUUGUCUUUACCGCAUCUUGCUGCAACAUGGAGUAUAUUUUCGCCAUUAGAGUUUUUCAGUUCCUUUGAAUCGGGACAAUGUCGAAGCAGCUCUUUAACAAUCUUGACAUGACCUUUGCUUGAUGCUGAAUGGAUUGGAAAGUUGCCGCCAUGAUCCAUUUGAUGAGAAUCACAGAUGCGCGUCUGCCUAAUAAGAAGCGAACCCCUUCUACAUAACCAAUUGAUGCUGCAGAAUGUAGUGGAGUCCUCCCCUUCUCAUCUUUUGAGCUCAGAAAAAUUUCCUCCAUGCUUGAUACUAUCUUUAAGAUUUCUAAUGGAGCCAAAGUAUAAAUUAGAAAAAUAUGAGUCAAAUGAGCGUUUUUCUUUCAAGUUGAAAAUGUAAUAAUAAAAAAAUUGGAUCAAAAAUCCAUCACACUAGCCGUUGUGGCAAAGCAGAAAAACAGAAGUAGUAUUAAUUGAAUGUACUAACAUACCAUUGUUCCGGCGGCUUAGAAUUGCAGCAUGCAACGGAGACUUGCCAUUAACACGAACUUCUGGCUUUUUCUCAACUGCUUUUUUGUUUAUUAGUUUCACGAUCUCAUCAAACCCUUCCUCAGCGGCCAGAUACAAAGAGGACUUUGCUUCCUUAUUGAGAUAAAACGAAAAGGCAGGAUAGGCCUCUAUGAAACACUUUGCUACUGAUUGGUGACCAUGAAUCAGGGCCUCGUGCAAGGGAGUGUUUUGCUCAUCAUUUAUUGAGGUCAGCAACAUGAAUACCUCAUCAGCAUUUUCAGCGCCUGGGGCUUCACAGAGAAGAGUGCUUGCUGUAUCUAAAUCCCCUGUUUUGGCCGUAAUAUGGAGCGCAGUGUCGCCCUCAAAGUUUUUCUCAAACAAAAGGGGCUUGUGAAGGUGUAUGAUCUCGGCUGCUAGUUUCGCAUGGCCGAAAUUUGCAGCUAUGUGAAGGAAUGUGUUCUUAUGAGGGCUUACUCGAGACAGAAGCCGAACGCGAGCAUUGGGAUCAUGUACUUCAUCUGCCUCAAGCUUCCUUUCAAUGGUGUCCUUAAAGCUAUCUAUCUUGCCCUGAGUUGCGUAGCCGUACAACUGCUGGUACAAGCGCAAGCUACUAGAAUCUUCAUCGCCGUCUGUUUGCUCAAGGAGUCCUCGAUUGAAUUCCUCUGAUGGUUUUGUUGCAGUUGGUACCUCCCUAGUGCCAUGGUAAAAAUUAACAUGUUGCGCUGCGAAUUUUACAUCUACCACAGCGGUUCUUUUGUACACGGGUACAUCAAGAACGGGCCUUUCGUGGACUACCUUCUUCUUUGUUAAUUUCUUUGAUGCAUUCUCCCUUGUCCCAUGGAAAGCAUUAGCAUAUUGCUCACUGAAUUCUACAUCUUCCGAAGCGGUCCGCACAAAGUGCAAGCCACUUGAAUCUUCAUCGCCAUCUGUUUGCUCAAGGAGUCCUCCAUCGUCUUUUUGGUGCAUGGGCAGAUCGAGGACCACUGCUUCUUUGCGGGACACAGGCCGAUCACUAGCCAAGCUUCGGAGGUCCACGCCGUCAUCUUCGUCGUCAGCUAUGCUGAUGCUUGCAGCUGUGUCCUCGUUGGUGGCUGCACGCAGCUCUUUGUCUGCCAUAUAUGGACUUCAACGUUGCUUUAGAUUCCGAUCUGCACUUCAACGUUGCUAUAAGAUAUGAGGAGCGCUCAAGUAUUAACUGAUAAUUAAGUAAUUAGAUACAAUUAGCGGUCUACGUGUCCUUACCAAAUACUGGAGGUGUGGAGAAGCCUGAGAGAGAACGAUAGAUAUAACAACUACAACUCAAUGCCACUUGUAUAUAGAGUAGGAAGUAGCUAGCUAGGAAGACAGACAGCAGAGACUGACAGAAAUAGAAAUUAUACAGACAAAAAAGAAGACACUAGAUAAACCAUGUGUUUUGUGUGCUUACUGGCUCUACAAUAAUUCAGGGCAAUAAUAGACCAUUAUAUAUACGUUAAAAUUGUCUUUUUGUUGUAUAGAAAAUGAUGGAGUACACAUAAAGAAAAUAAAAAAAUAAUAUUUAAAAAGUUUAAUGAUAUGUUAAAAGUCAUUCAAUUUGUCUAUACAUAGACUUCGUAUUGCUUAGCAAAACACAUCAAAGUAGAAAAGAGGAAAGAAAAGAAGAGAAGACAGGAAGAAUGAGUUCUAUCUAAGAGGAAAUUCUGUCAAUGUGAACAUCAGAAGAGUGUUCACCCAUUUUAGAUUCGUUCCUGUAAUGGUAUGGUAAAGUUCCCCAUUAUCUCGAAAACCAUUGACUGGUCAGCAAGUCAACUUUCUUUUGUGUAUGAGCGUGUCACUGCUAGCAAUAAAAACUCUAGCAAUAAAAACUCUAGCAGACUUCUUUAAAAAUAGAUAACUUGCACCCCAAGUUACUGAUUUCUAAACAAGCGAUUGUGAAUUUGGGUGAGGAAUAUCUCCCAAGUAAGUUCUUUUCUUGUCGCAGACUAGUGAGGACUUCACAAUUUUUCAUAGUACAAAACUGGUAGUUCUGGCCAGAAUAAAUGACAAGAAAGUAAACUGUUUCAGGCAGAACUGCCUUUACAAGGCUCAGAAAGGGAAAGACCAACUCUAAAAAGACAAAAAGAACAUUGGACUUCAAUUUCUGCCUGGAUAGCUACUUUUGAUUCUGGAUGGAUUGGAUGUGUUUGUGCUGGAUUGGACUAUCAACACCUUCAACUGUCAAGUUUCAGCUGUAAAUCGAUACCAACGUUCGAGUUUGGCAGAGCUCUAAUCUAUUUCAAGCCCGGAAGGCUCUUUGAAUGGGCAAAAUUGGAACCUCUUCAGUCUGGAAGAGGCAAAAGUGGCUGGAUAUUUGAUGAUUACUGAGCUGAAACUGUACUGUAGUACCUUUUCUGCUUGAUCAGGGCUCUCCAUAAAUUUGUUGAGGUUUUCAUAUUUGUAAAAACUCGGACUCUGCUUGAUUUGGCUUGUGCUGAACCAAAUUUGUAACUGAACUUUUCUCUGAAACUGAACUGAAAUUAGAGAUUCUGGAUUAUGGCUGACUUGUUUUUUGUGGCUCAAUGAGCUUUUGGUUGCUUCAGUGUUUUGAAGGCUUUUGAGAUCAAGUGAUCAUUUUGAGUUCUGUUUUUUAUUGAUUUUUUUUGUUGUCUUUGAUCUGUUCAUCUCCUCUCAUAUUUAUAGAAAUUGCUGGAGUGGGAUUUCUAAUCUCUUAAUAAUGGACGGCAGAUUUUCCAAAAGGAAGAUCUUUCAUUUUAAAUGUCAAAGAAAAGGGUAAUUUUAUCUAUUCUGGCAGACAAACCACCAACAGUCAGUUCUUUAUGGUGAUCACUUCUCUGCUCUUUUUGAAAGAAAACCAAAUCUCUUUUUGACUUUUAACUUCUCUUUGUAAGAGUUCAAUAUGCCGUGAUGGUUACUUUGAUUUUCCAGAUGAACAACUCCCUGCACCCUACUUAUUUCUUUAGAAAAUGUAGUCUGCUUAUCCCUUGAAAAUGAUGUCUGUCCUGAUGCAGAAUUAUAUAAAAAGAGAUUUUGAUCUUCUUUUGAUUGAAAAGACUGGAGAUAUCUUCCUAUUUUAAGACCUGCCUUCAUUAACUCCCUAUCAACGCUCUUAUGAUAGUUGAAAUUGUUGACUUUUCAAAUUCAGGUAAUCACGUGGGUUUUCUGAGAAUAGGUUUUCCAAGAAGAAUCUGCUAACUCGUUUCUGGGUUUUUUUUUAGAAGAACGGUGAUAAUUUAGAAACUGGGCCCAAUCCAAUUCUUCUUUAGAAUUUUACUUGGCCUGCUUGGUGAUGAAUUGCCAUUUAAUUGGCAAUUUUAUUGACUUGUUUUGUGUUUUCUACAACUCUGCCGCUUCGUAAAAGAUAUGGGCCUCUUUAUGUUUGUUCGGGCUGUUUUUAGAGUCAAGGCCCGCCCAGUCUUUUGUUUUUUUUCUGUCCCUAAGCUUCUUUGUGAGAAGUGGGCUGGCGUGUGGAAUUCUUGGCCCAAACAAUGCCCCCUUAAGUCUGAAUCGUUUUUGAAACGAUUUCAGACUUAAUGAUUAGCCAAUCAAUGAUGCGCACCAUUUCCUGCCGUUGCACUAGUGCACGUAUGCCUAUUCAAUUAGGCUUUAGAGGGAAAUGGGUUCUAACGGCUAAUUAAAUAUGAGCAAAACUCCUUUCUUCCCACUCUCCCCAUGAUCUUCUUGCUCAGUUUAUAAAAAAUUGUUGAACUUCAUUACUGUUCAUCAAAACCUAGCUUGUUUCAGCUUUCAAUCUCUUCAGAAUUCCCCCUUUUCUUUGGCUCAUGUCUUCAAUUCCUCCCUAUUCGUUUGAUUUCGAGAAUGUCUUCUCCAAACACCCAUGCCAAGGGCUCUUCCUCUUCACGAUCUCCUGCUUAUCUUACUGGAGAUGGCACUAAUAACCACGCAAUAGAGGUUCGAAGCAAGCUCUAUCCUUUUGCCCAGCAGAACCUAGAUGAAAAUGUCCUUCACUUGUUCGAGAAUACCUUAGUUCUGGGCCCUCACUGGUUUGGCCAUGUUCCUACUGAAAUGGCUAAGUUGUUUAAAGAUGACGCCGAAGCUCCUCUGUGCUUUCAAAGUUCUUCUGCCCUGGCUUCCCACACUUGUGUCAGCAAGAAUUUGAGUCGCUCUUUCCCCUCAAGUGAAGUGAGGAAUAGUGCGGUGAAGUGGGCAGUGACAGGACCCGCCCCGGAAUUUCCCGAAGACCGAAGCAGACCCCGUCUUUAUUCCGACAUCAUCCCAAUGCCUGGCCCACCUACUAAGAAAUCGAGACUUUCUACCAAAAUUUUGGCAGUCUCCCCUGUAAUUUAAGCAAUCCCAACAAAAAUAAUUACUCAACCUGCAACAAACACACAAUAACUAUUCCAACCAGCAGCAUGCUUUCAUAAUUCUACAAGUCACUAAAGUGGCCUCCGGCCUCAUAAGUAAAAUCUAUCAUGGGCAAUACAGAGCAUCUACUGAAUUUAAAUUACAAGAACAGUUGAGUAGAAGAAUUUACACAGUUCCUAACUAGAAAGAUGCAUAGUUUGAGCUUCGUACACCACUCGCACGCUUCCUGGAGCGAUUACUGGCUGUGGGGCGCAAAACAGAAAACAUGUGAGUGGACAAAAACCAGAUUUGCAGUUAAAAACAAUAUAGUAACCCCACCUUGUAAAAAUAAUGCUCAAGCCAUGCAGGUUCACAAUUCAAUAGUUAAUUACUCAAAACACGAUUCAUUAAAACUCUUCUAAAAACACCAGUUAUUUCUUUCAAAAAGAAUCCCAUUCUCUCAAUCUUUCAACUCCUGUCAAACUACUAGUUCCUUACACACUCAACUAUACAUAUACAUAUAAAUAUACCUAUAUAUAUAAAUAUAACUAUAAAUAGCUAUACGAUAUACUCAUCACACCACCUAGGUACCGGGGAAAACAAUCCAACUGGGGGAUCGUUUGACUAGUCCGCGGGAUUUCCAGGUGCUAUCCUGCGUCUAGGGAUGAGCGGUCCAACCGGGGGGAAACUCCAAAGCUCCCACACCGGAACAUCCAACGCCAUGUGUAGCUCCCCAACUAUGUCCUACGCGCGCAGACUGGAUCAUCACACACCGGAACAUCCAACGCCAUGGUGAUGACCCUAAACUCUAUACAAAGUCUUUCCAUACGCCGGAACAUCCAACGCCGCAUAUGGAAAAUGUCUCACACGCCGGAACAUCCAACGCCGCAAGUGAGACUAGUAACUGGGGAAGGUAAUUACGUAGUGUAAUCACACGACUUCUCUCCAAAAUCACAUUCUUCCAUAUCACCCUCCAACAACCCAAGUAUCUCGUCUAUAAAGAAUAUAUAAAUAUACUUCCCCACAAUCCAUAUAAAAUGCACUCUCAAAAACCCAAAAUGCCAAACUCACAAUAUAUUGCCAAGUGCUAUACAACCAUCAAAAUCAACUCAUGAAUAUAACAUAUAUAAUCCAUAAGCCAUUAAAACAUUAUGCAAAAAUCUUUCAUCAAUCAAAACCAUGCAUAUGAUUGAAAACAAAGUCCACUCACAAGUAUUCCCUCGCUGCCUGACCACGUGGGUGUCCUGCUUGCUGCGUACGUGCAGUCGAAACACCUAUUUCGAGAUACGAACCGAUAAUUAAUAUAAAAUUACGUCAAAGCAGAAAUCAAAAAUUAAAUGCUUAAAUUCCCAAAUUUCCCAUACGUGCACGUUGCAGAAGGUAUCCUAAGGUCCGACUACAGGUUUAGGAAUCGUUCACGAUUUUACGGUUAUCGCUAACCCGCAAACUUUGCAUUAUUGAAUCGGAACAUCUGGGGCUCCGAUUCAGAAUUCGUGAAGUCCCAUACGAUCCUAGGAAUACCUAGAACAACAUAUUUUAAUUAGGGAAAGAUCUAACGGUCGGAACCUAUCGAACCCGGAUAACGCACAAUAUGCGAAAAUCCGUUCGAUAGUCAAACGACAUCCGAAUUGAGAUCCGCGAAUUUCUAUGCUCUCGUGACAACCUAAGGAUCUCAUCGGGUUAAUUUACAGUCUCACCAGCCUCGCCCACGCGCCGCCACACGCCCCGGCAGCGCGUGGGUGUGUAGAGUAAUUCCGGCGACGGAAAAACUCCACACCCGAGCUCUGGAUCACUUCAUUCAACUACGGGAAGGCCCAAUUCGGGCGGCAACUGGCCGGAAUUUCAUUUUGAAAUUCGGCCAACACCUAGGUUUUCAAAAUCAAAUCCUACCUAGCCAAUCAAUCCAAACCUAUACAACCAUCAGCUAGAACUCGAAAAAUGGAUGAGAAACCAUACCUCACUCACCGGGUUUGGGCGGCGGAGGCGGCGGCGCGACGGCGGAAAAGCUCCGGUUUAAAACCGUCGAGCUCGCGGCCGGAUUUCGUCGUUUUCGACGGGGAAAACGGGCAGGUCUUGAUCGGGGCGACGAGGCGAGUCGAUCGGGACCGGUCUCGGGUCCUGCCGUGGCCGGAGCUGAGAGAACUGAGGAGAGAGAGAGUUGACGUCGGGGAGAGAGAGAGACUGAGGAGAGAGAGAGAGUGUCGAGCGCGCGCGAGGAGAGAUAGAGUUGAGGUGAAAAUCUGAUUUUUACCAAACUUUUUGAAAUAAUUACAAGUUUGCCACUGAUAGUGUUUUGCCCGUAACUUUUUCGUUACAACUCCGAUUCAAGCCUACCGCAUGUCUACGAAUUCGUCUCAGUACCAUCUACCCAGAAAUACUAUUCGUGGUCCCAAAAUCCUUGCAAAGAAGAAAGUGACCAAUUUACCCCUACCCCAAGGGUAAAUUCGUAAUUUUAAUUAAAUCGAUUAAAAUAAACAUUUAAUUUGGAGUCGGGGUGUUAUAGGCAGACUGGAUUGACAAGCUCCUUCCAAGGUAUGAAGCUCACUAGAAGAGGGCUGUAAUUUAUGAUGCUAUCCUUCUGUCCAAGCAGUUGAUAAAUAGAGACGAGAACCUUCUGGUUGCUGCUCUGUGCUUCUGGAAUUCUGCCAGCAAUACUUUCGACUUCCGCCUAGGCCCAAUGACUCCAACUUUGCUGGACAUGGCUCAGAUUUUUGGGUUCAGACCCCAUGGAAGCCAAGUCUAAAAUCUCAUGCAGGGCCUACCUAAUUUGCUACCCAACGACAAUGUCACUACAAUAAUUCAGGGCAAUAAUAGACCAUUAUAUAUAGGUUAAAAUUGUCUUUUUGUUGUAUAGAAAAUGAUAGAGUCCACAUAAAGAAAAUAAAAAAAUAAUAUUCAACGAGCUUAAUGAUAUGUUAGAAGUCAUCCAAUUUGUCUAUAAAUAGACUUCCCAUUGCUUAGCAAAACACACCAAAGGAGAAGAGAGGAAAGAAAGGAAGAGUGAGUUCUAUCUGAGAGGAAAUUCUGUCUAUGUGAACAUCAGAAGAGUGUUCACCCAUUUUAGAUUCGUUCCUGUAAUGGUAGGGUAAAGUUCCCCAUUAUCUCGAAAACCAUUGACUGGUCAACAAGUCAACUUUCUUUUGUAUAUGAGCGUGCCACUGCUAGCAAUAAAAACUCUAGUAGACUUCUUUAAAAAUAGAUAAUUUGCACCCCAAGUUACUGAUUUCAGUCGUCUUCUGAGUCAUCUUCUAAGUCAUCGUUGUGACUUCUAGAAGCCCGUACUUCCACACAGAAGAGAAAAUAAGUGAUCCAACGAAAGAUGCGGGACCCAUAAGUUGUUUUGCAGAAGAGUGGAGUGAAAACUAUUAAGACAUUGAAAAUGAAAAGGGCUCCCAGGAUCAAUACAACAUAGGCAAGCCAAUGAAGAUUGCUAACUACCAUAUAAACCCAGCCAUGAAGGCUAAGGAAAUCAUGGUAAGCACAAUCCCCAACAACGGCAAUGCCAGACGGAGAGCUGUGUCCACCAAAUUUAAGUCCCCCAACAGCGCCCAAAUGAGACAGACUGCAACCAAGAUGGCAGUAUACAUAGCUAUGGUGUUACAAAUCACAAAGGCUUGGAACAUAGCGUUGGUUAGCAAGAUUGCCAUGCCCUCCUGAGGGGCGUCACCAUUGUUGCCACCUGGCAUUGUGAAACCGGCUGCAAAUGCCAUUGUGGCAACAAGUGUGGUA
rnacentral:lncRNA from 1 species